CAAAGAAGUACAACAGGAUAUUCUCAAACCUGGUGCAAAGUGAAUCAUCUUAUCAAACACAAACUACCUGAGCUAUAUAUUGGUACUGUUUAAUUGACAACUCUAAGCAGGGUGAAGUCCUCAUAUUAUGGUCUUAUAACUGUCAACCUGAUGAGCAUUUUUUAAAGUGAUCUCUGGACAAACAUUCUCCUGGCUGUGAGGACAAGCUGCAGUUCGGACCAGCCUCCUGUGGAAGCAAACAUGCAGUCACUGGCCUCCAGAGUUUGGCUUAACACAGCUCUUCCUCUUCCUGAAAGUUACAGCAGGAAGCCGUUUUCAACGUUGCUUGUAAAACUGUAACUUCAGCAUUACACAAACUUCAGGAAUGAAAGCUCACCUGCAGGAACAUGAGUGAAUAUAAACAGGGGUGCCUAGAACCACUGCUCACAGCUAGAAGCCUGCGCGGGAGAUGGGGGUGACAGGAUAGGAACGGGGCGGCUCAGGCCCCAGCCAUGGCACCAUCACAGAGUGCGUGCCUCCCUCCUGUUUUCAUGCACGUGGCACAUGCCGGAGGCAGCCAGGUCACCAAGUGGUCAGAGCUUUCCUCUGCUUUACACCACGUAGGACCCAUCUGAGCAUUUUCCGGAAUAAUUAUAGGGUGAUUUUUCAGGGAACGUGGGCAGUGUUUCUAUUUUCAACUUUAAGUUUCAUGGAGGAAAUUUUUAGAGUAAAUGGUGUUAUGUAUAUGGCUAUAUUUCAGCUAAAAUCUGUAUUCAGUUGGUUUAAGAUUUGAAGGAAAGAAUAAGGAGAUUAUAGAUUGGAGACUGGCUUCUCAGGAAGUUUCUACAGAAUCUAAUCUUAUCUCAUUGCUUGUAUUUGUACUUCUCUAUUCAGAAACAACUAACAAUAUAGAGUUUUUCAUCUUUUCGGAACCAUUAGAGUUUGUUCUUUUUUUUUUUUUUUUUUUUUUUUUUUUUUUUUUGUGAGACGGAGUCUCGCUCCGUUGCCCAGGCUGGAAUGCAGUGGCCUGAUCUCAGCUCACUGCAAGCUCCACCUCCCGUGUUUAUGCCAUUCUCCUGCCUCAGCCUUCCGAGUAGCUGGGACUACAGGCGCCCACCACCAUGCUUAGCUAAUUUUUUGUAUUUUUAGUAAAGACGGGGUUUCACCGUGUUAGCCAGGAUGGUCUCGAUCUCCUGACGUCAUGAUCUGCCUGCCUCGGCCUCCCAAAGUGCUGGAGGCCGUGAGCCACCAGCUACAGGCGUGAGCCACCGUGCCUGACCUCGACUUUGUUCUUAAAAAUGUAAAAAUAUCUAUUUUUUUGCAGUUUUCCCUUUUG
rnacentral:lncRNA from 1 species